GUUACCUCACCGACUUCGGGUGUUACAAACUCUCGUGGUGUGACGGGCGGUGUGUACAAGGCCCGGGAACGUAUUCACCGCGGCGUGCUGAUCCGCGAUUACUAGCGAUUCCGGCUUCAUGCAGGCGAGUUGCAGCCUGCAAUCCGAACUGAGAGAAGCUUUAAGAGAUUUGCAUGACCUCGCGGUCUAGCGACUCGUUGUACUUCCCAUUGUAGCACGUGUGUAGCCCAGGUCAUAAGGGGCAUGAUGAUUUGACGUCAUCCCCACCUUCCUCCGGUUUGUCACCGGCAGUCUCGCUAGAGUGCCCAACUAAAUGAUGGCAACUAACAAUAAGGGUUGCGCUCGUUGCGGGACUUAACCCAACAUCUCACGACACGAGCUGACGACAACCAUGCACCACCUGUCACUUUGUCCCCGAAGGGAAAGCUCUAUCUCUAGAGUGGUCAAAGGAUGUCAAGACCUGGUAAGGUUCUUCGCGUUGCUUCGAAUUAAACCACAUGCUCCACCGCUUGUGCGGGCCCCCGUCAAUUCCUUUGAGUUUCAACCUUGCGGUCGUACUCCCCAGGCGGAGUGCUUAAUGCGUUUGCUGCAGCACUGAAGGGCGGAAACCCUCCAACACUUAGCACUCAU
rnacentral:rRNA from 1 species